rnacentral:rRNA from 1 species
AUUGAACGCUGGCGGCAGGCUUAACACAUGCAAGUCGAACGGUAACAGGAGAAAGCUUGCUUUCUUGCUGACGAGUGGCGGACGGGUGAGUAAUGCUUGGGAAUCUGGCUUAUGGAGGGGGAUAACGACGGGAAACUGUCNNUAAUACCGCGUAGUGUCGAGAGAUGAAAGUGCGGGACCUUCAGGCCGCAUGCCAUAGGAUGAGCCCAAGUGGGAUUAGGUAGUUGGUGGGGUAAAGGCCUACCAAGCCUACGAUCUCUAGCUGGUCUGANAGGAUGACCAGCCACACCGGAACUGAGACACGGUCCANACUCCUACGGGAGGCAGCANUGGGGAAUAUUGCGCAA